rnacentral:lncRNA from 1 species
UAGGGUGGGGGGGGUCUUGCUGUGGGAGGGGGCACGGGACCCUCCCCUUCCUGGUCUGACGGGCCCCGCCCUCCCUCCCUCCCUCCCUCCCUCCCUCCCCGGCUGCAGGUACGUGGUCUUCCACCAGGACCUUUGCGCCUGCGCAUCGACCUACCCGGACCACGUCCAGCGCGAACUCUGCUCCUACAGCACCUCCCUCAGCCGAUACUUCCACCUCCGCGACGUCUUCCGGGGGAAACCAGUAAGAAGAAUAGUGUCCGCAGCUGAAGAGGAAGAACCGGCUGGAAAUGUGGAAGGAGGAGGAGGAGGAGAAGGAGGAAGAGAAGACGACGGAGGAGGAGGAGGAGGAGAAGAGAAGGAGGCGGAAGUGGAGCCCGGAAGCGGAGAGGAGAGGAAGCAGGAGGAGGAAGAGAAAGACGGAGGAGGAGGAGAGGCGGCACACAGCAGCGCCAAGGAGGAGGAAGAGAAGGAGGAAGAAGAAGAGGAGGAGGAGGGCUCUGCCCCAGAGAGUGAGGGCUCUCCUGGAAAUGUCCGGGAAGAAGGCGGAACAGGAGCCGAGGCGAGUGAGCAGGAGGAACACCAUCACCGUUACAUUAUAAUUGUAUUACUGUAUAUAAUAAUUAUUAUAUUAUAUUAUUUUUUAUUAUAUUCUGAUUCUAAUUUUUAUAUUAUUAUAUUAUACUAGCUUUGCCCGGCCACGCGUUGCUGUGGCUUAUGGGAAUCCUUUGUUGGCCAGGUGGAAUUGCAGGGAAUAGCCUUGCAGUCUCAAAGCCUGGCCGUUUUCUGGAGUAGCUGGAGCUUUGGUUGUAUGGUACAACAAAAGGGUGGUACUUGAGGCAUAAGUUCCAAUGGAUCAUUUGGGCCACAUGGUUGUGCCUCUGUUUGUAGUCUGUCUGUGCGAUAUUCUUACAGCAGCUGAGGAGAUGAUCCAUGGUUUCGUUGGUUUCCUUGCACAGUCUGCUUUUAUUAUUAUUAUUAUUAUUGUUAUAUAUUUCACUACGUAAAAAUAUGUUUUUUGUUCUUGGAUCAUGAAUGCUGUCCAUUGCCGGAGCUCAAUGGCUCCGCUGUUGCGCUCACGGAGCUUCUCUCCUGCUGAACUGCUGCUUCUCGGCCAUGUUUUGAACGCGGUUCCCUUUCCUUUGCCCCGCAGGAGCCGGCCCCUCCUCCGCCCCCGCCUUCGGAAGGCUCCGAGCAGGAAGAGGAAGGGGAGGAGGAAGAGGAGGAGGGGUCCUCCUUCUCCACGUCCCGCGGAAACACCUACCGCGUGAACCUUCGCCUGCGGAAGUCCCAGAUCCGGAAGCCGGAGAAGUACUUCGCCGGGAAGCUGAAGGGCCAGCUCUUGCCCGCCUACCUGGAGCAGGCCUACCUCUCCGAGGCCUUCGUGGCCGAGCUCAGGAGGAGGUGAGCCAGCUGGUUGUGUAGAGUGUGCAAGCGUUGAAUAAAAAGUCAUGCCUCCACCUUGGUGGCAGUCCUGGCUUGCUCAGCAGACUCCUCUACAGUUAGUUCCAUUUGGCGGGAAGCCUUAGCAUUGGACGGUUGUGUUGUUAAAGUGCGAAGUAUGGAACCCUGCACAGACGGGGAAGCCUUAGCAUUGAACUGUUGUGUUGUUAAAGAGUGAAGUAUGGAACCCUGUUCCAGCGGAAGCGUGCUGGGCCCAUAACCAAUUGU